UACGGGAGGCAGCAGUGGGGAAUCUUGCGCAAUGGGCGAAAGCCUGACGCAGCCAUGCCGCGUGAAUGAUGAAGGUCUUAGGAUUGUAAAAUUCUUUCACCGGGGACGAUAAUGACGGUACCCGGAGAAGAAGCCCCGGCUAACUUCGUGCCAGCAGCCGCGGUAAUACGAAGGGGCUAGCGUUGCUCGGAAUUACUGGGCGUAAAGGGAGCGUAGGCGGACAUUUAAGUCAGGGGUGAAAUCCCGGGGCUCAACCUCGGAAUUGCUUUUUGAUACUGGGUGUCUUGAGUAUGAGAGAGGUGUGUGGAACUCCGAGUGUAGAGGUGAAAUUCGUAGAUAUUCGGAAGAACACCAGUGGCGAAGGCGACACACUGGCUCAUUACUGACGCUGAGGCUCGAAAGCGUGGGGAGCAAACAGGGAUUAGAUACC
rnacentral:rRNA from 1 species